rnacentral:lncRNA from 12 species
GGUCCACAGACCUCUGAUCUCUGGUGUCUGCCUUCCCUGCGUCCUGGGACCUGAGCCCGUGGCCCAGGGCCGGGCUCCAGGCAGGACAGCUGGAGUUAGCAAAUAAGAAUCCGGGAAGCCAGCUAAAUUUGAACAAGAAAUGGCGGUUCCUUGUAGGCUGGUCCCUGCAGCAUUCAGGACAAACACUGGGCAACUCCGCACCUGGCCAUCCUGGACGUUAGCUGGCUGCAGUACAGAGGCUGGGUCAUCAUAAGUGGCACAGCACACUACACCCGGUCACGAGUAUGCUUCAGAGCUUCCAGGACAUUCAUGGGUCUGCCCAACCAUCACCACAGACAGUGUGCCAACGUGUUCGUCAUCAGAAAGAAACCCGCUCCCCUCGCCCCCACCUGCCAGCCCCCGACGCCCGUGGCUUUACUCCCCGGAGCUCCAUGGAUCUGGAAUCAUACGGUGCUCAGCCUUGCAGAGCGGCCUGGUACUCAUCUGCAAACACGGAGGCCAUGGCCCUACCUGAGUGGACGAGGAUGGGACACGCUAAGGCUCAAGGCCUCUUAUGUUUGGGGGCAGAUCCUUCUGUCCAGCCAGGAAUCUCUUUCUAAGGAAGAAUUAGGCCUGACAUGGCUUCGGAGCAGCCCCUCCCUCCUGGGGGCAGUGGGGCAUCCCGGCAGUGGCUGGUGUGUGACCCAGGCCUCGGGGACCCCUGGCAGUCUGCCCUUCCUGCCGCUCACAGAAAGGACGGUCCUGCCUCGACAACUGUGUCCAGGAAGGUGCCUCGGCCUACGGCAAAUGAAGGGCAGAGAAGAGCCCCGUGAUCCAGCCUGAGAAAGACUCACUCCGUCUCUGGGGAGCAGGCACGGUCUCACAGGCCCUGGGGUUCCAGGGUGCCCACCCACCGUCCCAUCAGCUCCGGACGAGAAGUAAGUGUCCUGGUGCACAGGGAUCGUGGUUCUGUGACCCCUGCCCCUUCUAAGGAGAGUGCCAAACCAGCACCGAUGCCCUGGCGUCUGUCAUCAAUCAUCUAAUUUAAGAAAGCGAACCCCCAAGAAGAUGCCACACACCAUCCUGGGGCCCCAGGGUACCCAGAGCCCCGCUGGCCCUCCCGGUGAGCACUGUGACCCGCUGGAGCCCGGUGCUGAGCGCCCCGCGCGCCCGGUGUCGGCAGCGAUUCGCCACGCCGUGUAAAACCUCUUAGGGCCGUUAAGUUUCCCAGAUUGUUUUACAGCGAAACUCGGUGUCAAUGUUAUGCUUUGAAACAUUUAAGAAACAACAGUUUAUGGUCUCAGAUCUUUACGGUUUGGAAGACCAAACACCCCGCUCGCCUUGGCCCAACGGGUGUUUGAAAUCCAGGAGGAGCGCCAUCGUGUUACAAUGGGGAGAAUGUCCCGUGAAGAAAGCGCCCAAAUCACUCCAACAUGUUUCUGGUUUCACAUCCCCGCCCUGAGGAAACAUGUUUGUGUUCUCAGGCGUGGAGUCGAAAUACAUGGGAAGGGGAUAUUUUCAGAUAAGCACAGUUGGAAUAUAAUCUCGCAGGGCAGAGACCAUGGAGGGUCCCAUACGAGGAUGCGCAGGGCAGCGCCCCCGAAGUGGACGGAGCCAGGCGGGUCAGCUCCCGUGUGGACAAGGUGUC